AAAUUGAAGAGUUUGAUCAUGGCUCAGAUUGAACGCUGGCGGCAGGCCUAACACAUGCAAGUCGAACGGUAACAGGAAGCAGCUUGCUGCUUCGCUGACGAGUGGCGGACGGGUGAGUAAUGUCUGGGAAACUGCCUGAUGGAGGGGGAUAACUACUGGAAACGGUAGCUAAUACCGCAUAACGUCGCAAGACCAAAGAGGGGGACCUUCGGGCCUCUUGCCAUCGGAUGUGCCCAGAUGGGAUUAGCUAG
rnacentral:rRNA from 1 species